rnacentral:antisense_RNA from 1 species
CUUGAUCGACCCCAACCACAAAGGCUCGCCCCGGUUUUGGCCGUAGGUCGCCAGCAGCGCCUGCGCCUC